GGUGUCAGCCUGGUGAAGGAUGAGAGCCCCCACUGGGCUUUCUGAAGAGAUGACUCUUGUCUGCAGUUUGUGAGCUAUAAUUACGACAGCAUUAGACAAAGAUGUGCCAAAAAAUUUCCAUCAUUUUCAGGGUCAUCAUGAUUAAGAAAGUUAAAAUUCUUUGUGUUUAGAGACAAGAAGAGGCGAGGGAGUGUAGGUUGAGACAGAGCAAGUGGCUGACCUUGGGAUUGCUCCCAUGGGUUGUUGUCUUAGGAGACAUGGCCCUGCCCCACUGAAGUGGGUGCCCUGGCCAAAGUGCCCUCACAAGUCUUGAAGGGGCAGAGCAUGCCAGAAUCACCAUCCUAUGGUGGAGGUGAUAGGAUGCCCAGUGACCCCAUGGAGUGGAGGCAGCUGAGGCCAGCUGAGGGCAGUGGAGGACUGUUGGCAUCUGGGCAGUGUCAGUCCUUAAAGCAGUUAGCAUCACCCUAUCUGGGUAAUGGGGUUGAAGGUGUUAAAGCCCAAGUGUGCUCUUAGCGCUUUCUCACACUUCUUGUUUCUCCACUGGGGCUGAUGACCAUGGCCCCAAAGGCAGAGAUCAGAUCUGGGAGCCAGUCUGAACUCCCAGGUCUCAUAGAUGGAAUAUGGGUGGACUUCAAAGUAGAGGUUGAUUAUGGGAGUGUGGUGCUGGUUCUCCCAGGAGAGCUUAAGCCUUUCUGUGUGGGCAGGCUUUGGAGGAUGGCAGUAACUGUGGCCACACCAGUGGUUUCUUUACCUGGUGUGUGCCUUGCUUUCUGUCCCUUGGUCCCCAUGGUGGUGCUCUGGCUAGGGGCACUGGAGGUGUUCUGUUCUAACUGUGCCCCAUGUUGCUGCCUGUUGCUUGGGGUACCCCCUCUUUUGGAGGAGAUACACAAGGCCUCAAAAGCUAUAAUGAGUUCAGGGAGCAUGUCAUGGCUCCCAGAUCCUCUCAAUAUCAUUGGGACCAAAGGAUAACUAGAGGUAUCCUUACUGGCUGUACUGCUUGUCCCGCAAGGUGAGCUUAGGUGUUUCUGGGUGGGCAGGCUUUGAGGGAUGGCAGUCAGGGUAGGAACACGAGUGUUUUCUUGCCCCUUUGUUCCCUUUUCUGUGUGUUUCCCCAGUGCCACAGUGGUACUCUGGCUAGGGGCACUGGAGGUGUUCUGUUCCCCAUGUUGCUGUCUGUUGCUUGGGGUCCCUUUACUUUGGGAGGAGAUACACAAGGCCUCAAAAGCUAUAAUGAGUUCAGGAAGCAAGUCAUGGCUCCCAGAUCCUCUCGAUGUCACAGGGACCAAAGGGAAACUAGAGGUAUCCUUUCUGGCUGCACUGCUUGUCCCACAAGGUGAGCUUUGGUGUUUCUGGGUGGGCAGGCUUUGAGGGAUUGGACUUGGGGUAGAAACACCACUGUUUCCUUGUCCCUUUUUACCCUCUUUUGUGUGUUUCCCUGGUGCCAUGGUGGUGCUCUGGCUAGGGGCACUGGAGGUGUUCUGUUCCAACCUUGCCCCAUGUUGUUGCCUGUUGCUUGGGGA
rnacentral:lncRNA from 1 species